rnacentral:rRNA from 1 species
UACGUAGGGUACAAGCAUUAAUCGGAUUUACUGGGCGUACAGGGUGCGUAGGCGGAUAGACAAGUCAGGUGUGAAAUUCUGGUACUCAAUACCAGAGCUGCACUUGAAACUAUCUUUCUAGAGGUCAGACGGAGGAAACGGAAUUCCAUGUGUAGCGGUGAAAUGCGUAGAUAUAUGGAAGAACACCUGUGGCGAAAGCGGUUUCCUAGUUUGAUUCUGACGCUGAGGCACGAGAGCGUGGGUAGCAAAC